UACGGAGGGUGCAAGCGUUGUCCGGAUUUAUUGGGUUUAAAGGGUGCGUAGGCGGUUUUUUAAGUCAGUGGUGAAAUCCUGCAGCUCAACUGUAGAACAGCCAUUGAUACUGAAAAACUUGAGUACAGACGAGGUAGGCGGAAUUUAUGGUGUAGCGGUGAAAUGCAUAGAUACCAUAAAGAACACCUAUUGCGAAGGCAGCUUACUAGGCUGUAACUGACGCUGAGGCACGAAAGUGUGGGGAUCAAACAGG
rnacentral:rRNA from 1 species